GACGAACGCUGGCGGCGUGCUUAACACAUGCAAGUCGAACGGAAAGGCCCUUCGGGGUACUCGAGUGGCGAACGGGUGAGUAACACGUGGGUGAUCUGCCCUGCACUUUGGGAUAAGCCUGGGAAACUGGGUCUAAUACCGAAUAGGACCACGCGCUUCAUGGUGUGUGGUGGAAAGCUUUUGCGGUGUGGGAUGGGCCCGCGGCCUAUCAGCUUGUUGGUGGGGUAAUGGCCUACCAAGGCGACGACGGGUAGCCGGCCUGAGAGGGUGACCGGCCACACUGGGACUGAGAUACGGCCCAGACUCCUACGGGAGGCAGCAGUGGGGAAUAUUGCACAAUGGGCGCAAGCCUGAUGCAGCGACGCCGCGAGAGGGAUGACGGCCUUCGGGUUGUAAACCUCUUUCAAUAGGGACGAAGCGCAAGUGACGGUACCUAUAGAAGAAGCACCGGCCAACUACGUG
rnacentral:rRNA from 1 species